rnacentral:rRNA from 1 species
UGCGUAGGUGGCCUGACAAGUCAGGGGUCAAAGGCAACGGCUCAACCGUUGUAAGCCCUUGAAACUGUCGGGCUUGAGUUCAGGAGAGGAAAGCGGAACUCCUAGUGUAGCGGUGAAAUGCGUAGAUAUUAGGAGGAACACCAGUGGCGAAGGCGGCUUUCUGGACUGAUACUGACACUGAGGCACGAAAGCGUGGGGAGCAAACAG